CUGCUGCCUCCCGUAGGAGUUUGGUCCGUGUCUCAGUACCAAUGUGGGGGUUGACCUCUCAGUCCCCCUAUGUAUCGUCGCCUUGGUGAGCCGUUACCUCACCAACUAGCUAAUACAACGCAUGUCCAUCUCUGACCACCUGAGUUUUCAACCACCGAAGAUGCCUCCGGUGAUGUUAUGGGGUAUUAGUACCAAUUUCUCGAUGUUAUCCCCCUGUCAAAGGUAGGUUACAUACGCGUUACGCACCCGUCCGCCGGUCGCCGG
rnacentral:rRNA from 1 species